CGGGGUUCGAUUCCGGAGAGGGAGCCUGAGAAACGGCUACCACAUCCAAGGAAGGCAGCAGGCGCGCAAAUUACCCACUCCCGGCACGGGGAGGUAGUGACGAAAAAUAACGAUACGGAACUCAUACGAGGCUCCGUAAUCGGAAUGAGUACACUUUAAAUCCUUUAACGAGGAUCUAUUGGAGGGCAAGUCUGGUGCCAGCAGCCGCGGUAAUUCCAGCUCCAAUAGCGUAUAUUAAAGUUGUUGCGGUUAAAAAGCUCGUAGUUGGAUCUCGGUUUCACUCAGGCGGUACACCUUGCGGUGUUCACUGUCUGGGCGGACGUUUCUGUUGGUUCGCUGUUGGUUCUCUUAAUCGAGUGCCAAUUGGUGGCCAGCACGUUUACUUUGAAAAAAUUGGAGUGCUCAAAGCAGGCGUUACAGCCUGAACAUUAGUGCAUGGAAUAAUGGAAUAGGAUCUCGAUUCUAUUUCGUUGGCUUUCGGAGUCGAGGUAAUGAUUAAUAGGGACAGACGGGGGCAUUCGUACUGCGACGUUAGAGGUGAAAUUCUUGGAUCGUCGCAAGACGAACUACUGCGAAAGCAUUUGCCAAGAAUGUUUUCAUUAAUCAAGAACGAAAGUUAGAGGUUCGAAGGCGAUCAGAUACCGCCCUAGUUCUAACCAUAAACGAUGCCAACCGGCGAUCCGUCGUCGUUAAUUGAAUGACUCGACGGGCAGCCUCCGGGAAACCAGAGUGUUUGGGUUCCGGGGGAAGUAUGGUUGCAAAGCUGAAACUUAAAGGAAUUGACGGAAGGGCACCACCAGGAGUGGAGCCUGCGGCUUAAUUUGACUCAACACGGGAAAUCUCACCAGGCCCGGACACCGGAAGGAUUGACAGAUUGAGAGCUCUUUCUUGAUUCGGUGGGUGGUGGUGCAUGGCCGUUCUUAGUUGGUGGAGCGAUUUGUCUGGUUAAUUCCGAUAACGAACGAGACUCUGGCCUACUAACUAGAAGGGUCGUUCUUUACGAGCGGCCCUCUGCUUCUUAGAGGGACGGGCGGCGUUUAGCCGCACGAGAAUGAGCAAUAACAGGUCUGUGAUGCCCUUAGAUGUUCUGGGCUGCACGCGCGCUACACUGAAGGAAUCAGCAUGUUCUCCCCUCCCUGAAAAGGGCGGGUAACCCGUUGAAACUCCUUCGUGAUGGGGAUUGGAGAUUGUAAUUAUUCUCCAUGAACGAGGAAUUCCCAGUAGGCGCGAGUCAUCAGCUUGCGUCGAUUACGUCCCUGCCCUUUGUACACACCGCCCGUCGCUACUACCGAUCGAGUGAUUUAGUGAGGACUUCGGACUGGUCUCCAAGUUGGCUUCGGUCAGCUCGGAGUUCCGGAAAGAUGCCCAAACUUGAUCACUUAGAGGAAGUAAAAGUCGUAACAAGGUU
rnacentral:rRNA from 1 species